rnacentral:rRNA from 1 species
CUCUUGAUUUAAUAUGAAGUCGUACCUGCCCACUGAAGAUUUGAAUGGCCGCGGUAUAUUGACCGUGCAAAGGUAGCAUAAUCAUUAGUCUUUUAAUUGGAGGCUGGAAUGAAUGGUUUGACGAAGCAAUAACUGUCUCGGGAUAAUGAAUUGAAUUUUACUUUUGAGUUAAAAGGCUCAAAUAAGAAUAGGGGACGAGAAGACCCUAUAGAUCUUGAUAUUGGAUAUUAAGGUUUAUGUUUAGUAGUUUUUUAUGAAUGUUAAUAUCUUUUAUUUGGUUGGGGUGACAAGAGAAUAAUUUAACUUCUUUAUUAUUGAACUAUGAUGGUUGGUUAAUUGAUCCUAUAUUAUGGAAUGAAGAUAAAGAUACCUUAGGGAUAACAGCGUAAUGUUAUUGGAGAGUUCAUAUUGAUAAUAAAGAUUGCGACCWUCGAUGUUGGAUUAAGAAAAUUAUUAGGUGSCAGAAGC